UAAAUGGUUUAGAAAAGAUAAAAGAAAUUUGUUUUUAGUAUUAUAUUGUAGCUAAUGAAGCAGCUAAAAAGUCCUUUAAGGAAGAAUUUUAUGUGGAAUGUUAAUGCAAAAGGUACGAAUAUUGACAGUUAAACCAUCACCACCUCCACAGCCACCUUAUCUCAAGCAUUCAAUUGCAUUCUAAGUUAUCUUUAGUCAAAUCAAGUGUGACUACAAUACCAAAAGACUGUAGAAUGGACCAAUCAAGUAAGAUAUCUAAAUUUAUAUCUUUUAUAUAGAACUCCUUUACUUUUAAAUAAACCUGUUAAUUUUAUGACUUGUGAACAUAUUUAGCAAUGUAAG